rnacentral:rRNA from 1 species
GGUUAAGCGACUAAGCGUAUACGGUGGAUGCCUUGGCAGUCAGAGGCGAUGAAGGACGUAGUAACUUGCGAAAAGCGUUGGCGAGCUAGUAACAAGCAUUUGAGCUAACGAUGUCCGAAUGGGGGAACCCAGCAGCAUAAGCUGUUAUCGCAACAUGAAUACAUAGUGUUGCGAGGCGAACCCGGGGAACUGAAACAUCUAAGUACCCGGAGGAAAAGAAAUCAACCGAGAUUCCCCUAGUAGCGGCGAGCGAACGGGGAUUAGCCCUUAAGUCAGUGGGGUGUUAGUGGAAUGUGUUGGAAAGCACAGCGGCACAGGGUGAUAGCCCCGUACAUGAAAACUAACCAUUGAUGAAAACGAGUAAGGCGGGACACGUGACAUCCUGUUUGAAUAUGGGGGGACCAUCCUCCAAGGCUAAAUACUCCUGACUGACCGAUAGUGAACCAGUACCGUGAGGGAAAGGCGAAAAGAACCCCUGUGAGGGGAGUGAAAUAGAACCUGAAACCGUAUACGUACAAGCAGUGGGAGCGGUUCUUGAGACCGUGACUGCGUACCUUUUGUAUAAUGGGUCAGCGACUUACAUUUUGUAGCGAGGUUAAGCGAAUAGCGGAGCCGUAGGGAAACCGAGUGUUAACUGCGCGUUUAGUUGCAAGGUGUAGACCCGAAACCCGGUGAUCUAGCCAUGGGCAGGUUGAAGGUUGAGUAACAUCAACUGGAGGACCGAACCGACUAAUGUUGAAAAAUUAGCGGAUGACUUGUGGCUGGGGGUGAAAGGCCAAUCAAACCGGGAGAUAUCUGGUUCUCCUCGAAAGCUAUUUAGGUAGCGCCUCGAGCGAAUACCAUUGGGGGUAGAGCACUGUUAAGGCUAGGGGGUCAUCCCGACUUACCAACCCUUUGCAAACUCCGAAUACCAAUGAGUACUACUCGGGAGACAGACGGCGGGUGCUAACGUCCGUCGUCAAAAGGGAAACAACCCAGACCGUCAGCUAAGGUCCCAAAGUACUAGCUAAGUGGGAAACGAUGUGGGAAGGCUUAGACAGCUAGGAUGUUGGCUUAGAAGCAGCCAUCAUUUAAAGAAAGCGUAAUAGCUCACUAGUCGAGUCGGCCUGCGCGGAAGAUGUAACGGGGCUAAGCUAGUCACCGAAGCUACGGGUGCACAGUUUACUGUGCGCGGUAGAGGAGCGUUCUGUAAGCCGUUGAAGGUGAAGGGGUAACCCACGCUGGAGGUAUCAGAAGUGCGAAUGCUGACAUGAGUAACGAUAAAGGGGGUGAAAAACCCCCUCGCCGAAAGACCAAGGGUUCCUGUCCAACGUUAAUCGGGGCAGGGUGAGUCGACCCCUAAGGUGAGGCCGAAAGGCGUAAUCGAUGGGAAACAGAUUAAUAUUUCUGUACUUCCGCUAACUGCGAUGGAGAGACGGAGAAGGCUAGGCUAGCGCGGCGUUGGUAGUCCGCGUUUAAGGUGGUAGGUG